CAGCAGCCGCGGGAAAACGGAGGGGGCUAGCGUUGUUCGGAAUUACUGGGCGUAAAGCGCACGUAGGCGGCUUUGUAAGUCAGAGGUGAAAGCCCGGGGCUCAACCCCGGAAUUGCCUUUGAGACUGCAUCGCUUGAAUCCAGGAGAGGUGAGUGGAAUUCCGAGUGUAGAGGUGAAAUUCGUAGAUAUUCGGAAGAACACCAGUGGCGAAGGCGGCUCACUGGACUGGUAUUGACGCUGAGGUGCGAAAGCGUGGGGAGCAAACAGGAUUAGAUACCCCAGUAGUCCCUGUCUCUUAUAC
rnacentral:rRNA from 1 species